AUUGAACGCUGGCGGCAUGCCUUACACAUGCAAGUCGAACGGCAUCGCGGGAAAGCUUGCUUUCCUGGCGGCGAGUGGCGAACGGGUGAGUAACACAUCGGAACGUACCGGCUAGUGGGGGAUAACCCGUCGAAAGACGGGCUAAUACCGCAUACGCUCUUCGGAGGAAAGCAGGGGACCUUUGGGCCUUGCGCUAGCCGAGCGGCCGAUGUCCGAUUAGCUAGUUGGUGGGGUAAAGGCCUACCAAGGCGACGAUCGGGAGCGGGUCUGAGAGGACGAUCCGCCACACUGGGACUGAGACACGGCCCAGACUCCUACGGGAGGCAGCAGUGGGGAAUCUUGGACAAUGGGGGCAACCCUGAUCCAGCAAUGCCGCGUGGGUGAAGAAGGCCUUCGGGUUGUAAAGCCCUUUCGGCAGGGAAGAAAUCGGCGGGGCGAAUAACCCUGCUGGAUGACGGUACCUGCAGAAGAAGCACCGGCUAACUACGUG
rnacentral:rRNA from 1 species